rnacentral:rRNA from 1 species
AUUGAACGCUGGCGGCAUGCUUUACACAUGCAAGUCGAACGGCAGCGCGGGCUUCGGCCUGGCGGCGAGUGGCGAACGGGUGAGUAAUGCAUCGGAACGUGCCCAGUAGUGGGGGAUAGCCCGGCGAAAGCCGGAUUAAUACCGCAUACGACCUGAGGGUGAAAGCGGGGGACCGAAAGGCCUCGCGCUAUUGGAGCGGCCGAUGUCGGAUUAGCUAGUUGGUGGGGUAAAGGCUUACCAAGGCGACGAUCCGUAGCUGGUCUGAGAGGACGACCAGCCACACUGGAACUGAGACACGGCCCAGACUCCUACGGGAGGCAGCAGUGGGGAAUUUUGGACAAUGGGGGCAACCCUGAUCCAGCCAUGCCGCGUGCGGGAAGAAGGCCUUCGGGUUGUAAACCGCUUUUGUUCGGGAAGAAAUCCUGUGGGCUAAUACCCCGGGGGGAUGACGGUACCGGAAGAAUAAGCACCGGCUAACUACGUG